AGAGUUUGAUCAGGGCUCAGAUUGAACGCUGGCGGCAGGCUUAACACAUGCAAGUCGAGCGGGGAAGGGUAGCUUGCUACCUGACCUAGCGGCGGACGGGUGAGUAAUGCUUAGGAAUCUGCCUAUUAGUGGGGGACAACAUUCCGAAAGGAAUGCUAAUACCGCAUACGCCCUACGGGGGAAAGCAGGGGAUCUUCGGACCUUGCGCUAAUAGAUGAGCCUAAGUCAGAUUAGCUAGUUGGUGGGGUAAAGGCCUACCAAGGCGACGAUCUGUAGCGGGUCUGAGAGGAUGAUCCGCCACACUGGGACUGAGACACGGCCCAGACUCCUACGGGAGGCAGCAGUGGGGAAUAUUGGACAAUGGGCGAAAGCCUGAUCCAGCCAUGCCGCGUGUGUGAAGAAGGCCUUUUGGUUGUAAAGCACUUUAAGCGAGGAGGGGGCUACUUGGAUUAAUACUCUAGGAUAGUGGACGUUACUCGCAGAAUAAGCACCGGCUAACUCUGUGCCAGCAGCCGCGGUAAUACAGAGGGUGCGAGCGUUAAUCGGAUUUACUGGGCGUAAAGCGUGCGUAGGCGGCUUUUUAAGUCGGAUGUGAAAUCCCUGAGCUUAACUUAGGAAUUGCAUUCGAUACUGGGAAGCUAGAGUAUGGGAGAGGAUGGUAGAAUUCCAGGUGUAGCGGUGAAAUGCGUAGAGAUCUGGAGGAAUACCGAUGGCGAAGGCAGCCAUCUGGCCUAAUACUGACGCUGAGGUACGAAAGCAUGGGGAGCAAACAGGAUUAGAUACCCUGGUAGUCCAUGCCGUAAACGAUGUCUACUAGCCGUUGGGGCCUUUGAGGCUUUAGUGGCGCAGCUAACGCGAUAAGUAGACCGCCUGGGGAGUACGGUCG
rnacentral:rRNA from 1 species